rnacentral:lncRNA from 1 species
CCAGUCAAUAUAAUAAUACUAAAAUAAAAUAAAAAAACACACAUUAAUUUCCACUUCUCCAAUAUAGGGCAUUUAAUAUACAAAUUAUUUCAACAUUUUAUAUUUCACCACGAAAUUCAACUAUAGAAGUAGAAAACACUAGCCGCAAAAACAGCACCUUGAAAUAAAAUCUGUGGUUUGGUUUUCACUAAAAACCAUAAUUUAAAAACACCAUUAAAAAGCAUCAAUGGAGACUGUAAAUUAAAAUAAAUAAGUAUCAUCUUGUUCUUCAAGGCAUGUUUUCGUCAUCCUGGAACUCUUCCCUGUUCUGGUAUCCUCCCAUGGAGUUGUCGCCGUUGAACUCAUACGCAUUGUUUCCGUAGAAGUUUCUGUUGUUGAAUUCAUUUUGGCGGCGAGCGCCUCGCAAGGUCUCGUAGGGGUGAUUGCUGCUGUAUUUCUCGGAGUUAAGGUCGUAGUAAUACUUGCCGUUUUCCAAGUAGCGCGUGUCGCUCAUUCCUUGAGGCUGGAAGGAGUUGCGGCGGCUGCUGAAGGUGGCGGCGCCCUCGCUCUGCCCCUGCGGCUGGAAGGAGUUGCGGCCGUUGCUGAAGGUGGCGGCGCCCUCGCUCUGCCCCUGCGGCUGGCUGUUGAAGCUGCUCCCGCCAUUGUAGUAGAAGUUGCCGGCGGCGUUGUCUCCGUUGUUGGCGGCGGCGGGGUAGCUUCUGAACUCGGUAUCCUCCUCUUGCUGCUGCUGGUUGUUGUUGUAGUAAUUCUGCGCGCCGCUGUAAUAAUUGUUUCUGUUGUUGUCGUUGUCGGGAUGGGUGGCGCUGAAGCUGCUUUCCUCGGGGAAGGCUGCGGUGCCUUGGUUUACGUCAGAUUCGGGCUGGGUGACGUAGGCCACCGGGUUGUAGUUCUUGGGGAGGUAUUUGUUGACGGGUUGUUUGAAUUCGGCGGCGGCGGGGGUGGUGGUGGUGGUGGCUGCGGUGGAGGGAGGGUUUUGGCCGGACUCGUGGCCGUAGAGGCCGUAGCUGUUCUCGUUUUCCGGGAGGAAAUUGGGCUCUUGCUGAUUGGUGGAAGCUUCUUUGUUGUUGGGGACAACAACGUUGUUGGUGGUGCUGGGGAUUUUGUUGAAGAACUGGCUGUCUCUUGCAUGGAUAUGCAGAGAGGAGAAGAGGGUGAGGAGGAGGAAGAGGGAGAGUUUCAUGGCGGGGGAAGCCAUUGCAGGAUGAGAGAGAGAGAGAGAGAGAGUGUAUAGUGUUGUGAACUUGGUGUGGUUUGUGUUUUUAUAGAUGGGAAGCUCUGCCUCUGCCUUUGUGAGUGUGUGAGUGAGUGAGUGAGUGUGUUAUGAACUUUUAAAAUUUCAACCGAUUUGGUGGAAAUGGGAGAGGAUUAGGUCAUUAUAGCACAAAUAAGACUUAUUUAAUUGCGUUUUGUGCGCGUAUUUAUUUCCAUAAUUUCCUCUGUAGUGAAUAUUAAUUUAUUAUUAUAUCUGCGCCUGUGAGCACUCCCCACAGUAAGUAUGGGCGCAAUCAAUAAAUUCAACUUUUAUGGAGAAAAUAUAACGUACAAUGGAUGGUAAUGUAUGAAACAAGCAUACCACAAAAGCUUCACGUUUCAUUAUUAUAAGGAUACACCACCCUGCUUAAUGUAUCAAUAGUUUACUGAUAAUGUUAAUCUACAUAUAUAACCAACUAAUUUUCCAAAAAAGAAAGAACAUCAUUCGGAAUGUCCAUAGAAUCAGGUCGUGGAAUUGUUAGAUUUUGUAAAUUAUACUCCAGAAAAUAACAAAUAAACUGGCACAUUGAUUAAUGUCAUAAUGUGAAAAGGAAAAUUACUAUCACAUGUGCAAGUAUGUUGAUCAUA